rnacentral:rRNA from 1 species
CUACGGGGGGCUCCAGUGGGGAAUAUUGCACAAUGGGCGCAAGCCUGAUGCAGCCAUGCCGCGUGUAUGAAGAAGGCCUUCGGGUUGUAAAGUACUUUCAGCGGGGAGGAAGGGAGUAAAGUUAAUACCUUUGCUCAUUGACGUUACCCGCAGAAGAAGCACCGGCUAACUCCGUGCCAGCAGCCGCGGUAAUACGGAGGGUGCAAGCGUUAAUCGGAAUUACUGGGCGUAAAGCGCACGCAGGCGGUUUGUUAAGUCGGAUGUGAAAUCCCCGGGCUCAACCUGGGAACUGCAUCUGAUACUGGCAAGCCUGAGUGUCGUAGAGGGGGGUAGAAUUCCAGGUGUAGCGGUGAAAUGCGUAGAGAUCUGGAGGAAUACCGGUGGCGAAGGCGGCCCCCUGGACGAAGACUGACGCUCAGGUGCGAAAGCGUGGGGAGCAAACAGGAUUAGAUACCCGAGUAGUC